rnacentral:snRNA from 1 species
AUCCUAACUCGGCCUUUUGGCUAGGAUCAAGUAUAGUAUCUGUUCUUAUCAGUUUAAUCUUAACUAACCCUAAGGAACUAACUAGAAUUAAUCAUAACUGCCCUAAUUACA